rnacentral:rRNA from 1 species
UGGGGAAUAUUGCACAAUGGGCGCAAGCCUGAUGCAGCCAUGCCGCGUGUAUGAAGAAGGCAUUCGGGUUGUAAAGUACUUUCAGUCGGGAGGAAGGUGGUAAGGUUAAUAACCUUAUCAAUUGACGUUACCGACAGAAGAAGCACCGGCUAACUCCGUGCCAGCAGCCGCGGUAAUACGGAGGGUGCAAGCGUUAAUCGGAAUUACUGGGCGUAAAGCGCACGCAGGCGGUUGAUUGAGUCAGAUGUGAAAUCCCCGGGCUUAACCCGGGAAUUGCAUCUGAUACUGGUCAGCUAGAGUCUUGUAGAGGGGGGGAGAAUUCAAUGUGGAGCGGUGAAGUGCGUAGAGAUGUGGAGGAAUACCGGUGGCGAAGGCGGCCCCCUGGACAAAGACUGACGCUCAGGUGCGAAAGCGUGGGGAGCAAACAGG